rnacentral:rRNA from 1 species
AUGUGUUGUGAGCUCGAUGAGUAGGGCGGGACACGUGGUAUCCUGUCUGAAUAUGGGGGGACCAUCCUCCAAGGCUAAAUACUCCUGACUGACCGAUAGUGAACCAGUACCGUGAGGGAAAGGCGAAAAGAACCCCGGCGAGGGGAGUGAAAAAGAACCUGAAACCGUGUACGUACAAGCAGUGGGAGCACCCUUCGGGGUGUGACUGCGUACCUUUUGUAUAAUGGGUCAGCGACUUAUAUUCUGUAGCAAGGUUAACCGAAUAGGGGAGCCGGAGGGAAACCGAGUCUUAAUUGGGCGUUAAGUUGCAGGGUAUAGACCCGAAACCCGGUGAUCUAGCCAUGGGCAGGUUGAAGGUUGGGUAACACUAACUGGAGGACCGAACCGACUAAUGUUGAAAAAUUAGCGGAUGACCUGUGGCUGGGGGUGAAAGGCCAAUCAAACCGGGAGAUAGCUGGUUCUCCCCGAAAGCUAUUUAGGUAGCGCCUCGUGAAUUCAUCUCCGGGGGUAGAGCACUGUUUCGGCUAGGGGGCCAUCCCGGCUUACCAACCCGAUGCAAACUGCGAAUACCGGAGAAUGUUAUCACGGGAGACACACGGCGGGUGCUAACGUCCGUCGUGAAGAGGGAAACAACCCAGACCGCCAGCUAAGGUCCCAAAGUCAUGGUUAAGUGGGAAACGAUGUGGGAAGGCCCAGACAGCCAGGAUGUUGGCUUAGAAGCAGCCAUCAUUUAAAGAAAGCGUAAUAGCUCACUGGUCGAGUCGGCCUGCGCGGAAGAUGUAACGGGGCUAAACCAUGCACCGAAGCUGCGGCAGCGACACUGUGUGUUGUUGGGUAGGGGAGCGUUCUGUAAGCCUGUGAAGGUGUGUCGUGAGGCAUGCUGGAGGUAUCAGAAGUGCGAAUGCUGACAUAAGUAACGAUAAAGCGGGUGAAAAGCCCGCUCGCCGGAAGACCAAGGGUUCCUGUCCAACGUUAAUCGGGGCAGGGUGAGUCGACCCCUAAGGCGAGGCCGAAAGGCGUAGUCGAUGGGAAACGGGUUAAUAUUCCCGUACUUGGUGUUACUGCGAAGGGGGGACGGAGAAGGCUAUGUUGGCCGGGCGACGGUU